CUCGUGAUGAUUUAUCAGCUAAGGAUUCAGCGCCACUUUCAAGCAUUCCCUGCAGAGUGAGUCCGAACCACAAGAUAUUGCUGUAGUCAUGGUAACAAAAACCACACUCGCCAUUGGACUGGCACCAAAUGGAGUCGGUUCUACAAUCUCUCAAUUGCAUUCCACGAAGCCAGUCCCUUCAACUCUGCACGUUUAUUUAUUCCAAGUGAACCACCACAAAAUUGUCAGAGACUUUGAUGUGUAUUUUAAAGACCAUCCAAAGACUUUUCAUCAAAACAUGGCCAGUCCUCACCGACAAGAAAGCUCAUAUUAAUCAAUCAUUCAAAACUUUGAGAUUAAACAUAACAUCAUGAAUAAAUAGGAUGGGAAAGUAAGCUUGCGAAACCGAGUGAUUCAUUUUGUUGAUGAAAAUUUGUCUUCGUGAAAAGAGGAAUCGGAAUCAAUUCUGCCUCAAAGUCGUAGGACUGUGGUCAUGUGGUAGGCGGAUGACGUCAUCCAGUUUGCGCUUAUGAUUGUCUGUCAAAAGUUUCGACAUGUGAUAUAGACAUGUUUGCACUUAUUGCAGAAACCACAGUGACGCAUGGCGGCAAACUUGUGGUCGAACAUCUCAUGAGCGUGAUCGAAAACUCACAAGAGCAUAUCAAAGUGAAAGGAAAUACGACGCUUUGCUAAAAUGGAACCCAGGAGCAGCAAAUACAAUGAAAGGGGCCUCAAACUUGAACCUUGUGGAACACCAUACCACAGACGGACGGGUGAGUAACCCUCAAGUCUUUCGCUCAUCGUGAGAAUGUUUCAGGCCAAUGUAGUCGACAAAAUGACGAUGGUGGGAUAUUUUUAGCGGCAGUGGAGAUUAUGUCACAUGCAAAAAAAAAAACUAUGCAGGCCGCAUUCCUUAAAGCCUCAUGUUUGCAGGAAACGAGAAACUGCUGAUUUUCUCCCGACAACGCUAGGCAGAAAUAUCGGUCGGCUGAGAACGGCUGCUGGAAAUCCUGCCAAGUGGCGGGUAGACACACUGACCUCUGGUGCCCGUGUAACACUUUGACUUAGGAUGAGACCCAGACUCAAGCAAGUGUGGGAAAACCCCAUCUCCACCCGGGCUACCUCAUCCCAGCCACAUGGGAAUACUGUGCCCUCUUUGUCGCGACACAAGCAAAAAUAUCAAACCGCUGGAAGAGCUGCAGAACAAAUCGUGGCUUUCUCUCGCUCCUUUUUCCCCGUGUGGAAAUUGCCAUCAUUAAAAAUGGCCCUUACUAAUCGCCGCUUCACACGUGUGCAAAAAUAGAGGGAGAGCAUGAAUAAGGGCAAUGGAUGUGUUCUGCUAGCGCCAGGUGCCGUCAUUUAUUUUGUCUGUAUCAGAGGAGACCACAAAAGAGGCCCCAGACAAAACCUCAAUCCAGCUGUAAAAUAUGCCAUUAGGCGCUUUGUCUUGAAGAUUUAUUGACCCCGAUUCCACCUCAGUGACGCCGAAAAUUUUGAAGAGGUCCUAUUUACUGUCAAGACGAGCCUUUUGUGAAGAGGUCCUAUAUACUUAGCGGGGGGGGGGGGGGCACAGAAGGCCCCGGCCUGUUGUUUUAUGAAGACCUGGGGGGUCAUGUCUCUUUUUGGAAUACAGCCGGCUGCAUGACAUAAUCAGAGUACAGUAAUGAGACGUACUUUCAGUACACCGUGUGCUCGCCGCUAACCAAAAGACACCACAAGACGCUCACGGGAAAGCCGGUCUUUGUCAUUUGGAAUCGUGAUGACUCGUUGCUCACAUCAUAACUCAAAGGUGAGAUUGUUUUACAAGAUCAUAUUAACCUGAGAUUACGUUUCAUGUUUGCUUUGUGCACGACAGGAUGCCCCGCCUCCGAUGCUGUCUGGUAACCUUGGAUACCUCCCAUCACAACCAGUUGCUGCUUUCAAAUUAAAUGCACUUAAAAUCAUUGUGACAGCCCCAAAAAAAAAAA